UAGUCGACAUUGUUCCUUCGGGAGGCAGCAGUGGGGGAUUUUCCGCAAUGGGGCGAAAACCUGACGGAGCAUGACCGCGUGAGGGAGGGAAGGCUUUUGGCGUUCUAAACAUCUUUUCUCAGGGAAGAAAAAAAAUGACGGUUCCUGAAGAAUAAGCAUCGGCUAACUCCGUCCCAACAACCGCGGUAAUACUGAGGAUGCAAGCGUUAUCCGGAAUUAUUGGGCGUAAAGCGUCCGCAGGUGGCACAUCAAGUUUGGUGUCAAAGACCGGGGCUUAACUCUGGAAAGGCAGUGGAAACUGAAGUGCUAGAGUGCCGGAGGGGUAGAGGGAAUUCCCGGUGUAGCGGUGAAAUGCGUAGAUAUCGGGAAGAACAUCGGUGGCGAAGGCGCUUUACUGGACUGCAACUGACACUCCCAGGACGAAAGCUAGGGGAGCGAAUGGGAUUAGAUACCCCAGUAGUCCUAGCUGUAAACGAUGGAUACUAGGUGUGGCUUGUAUCGACCCGAGCCGUGCCGUAGCUAACGCGUUAAGUUACCGCCUGGAGACCGACCGGGCGA
rnacentral:rRNA from 2 species